rnacentral:rRNA from 1 species
CCUACGGGGGGCAGCAGUGGGGAAUAUUGCGCAAUGGGCGAAAGCCUGACGCAGCGACGCCGCGUGAGGGAUGAAGGUCUUCGGAUCGUAAACCUCUGUCAGCAGGGAAGAACGGUCAAGGGGCUAAUCAGCAGUGAAUUGACGGUACCGGCAAAGGAAGAACCGGCUAACUCCGUGCCAGCAGCCGCGGUAAUACUGAGGGUGCGAGCGUUAAUCGGAAUUACUGGGCGGAAAGCGCUCGUAGGCGGUAUGUCAAGUCAAGGGUGAAAUCCCCGCGCUCAACGUGGGAACUGCCUUUGAAACUGGCAAACUGGAGUGUGUGAGAGGAUAGUGGAAUUCCAGGUG